CGAAAGCCUGACGGAGCAAUACCGCGUGAGGGAGGAAGGCUCUUGGGUCGUAAACCUCUUUUCUCAGGGAAGAAGACAAUGACGGUACCUGAGGAAUAAGCAUCGGCUAACUCCGUGCCAGCAGCCGCGGUAAUACGGAGGAUGCAAGCGUUAUCCGGAAUGAUUGGGCGUAAAGCGUCCGCAGGUGGCUGUGUAAGUCUGCUGUUAAAGAGUCUAGCUCAACUAGAUAAGAGCAGUGGAAACUACAGGGCUAGAGUACGUUCGGGGCAGAGGGAAUUCCUGGUGUAGCGGUGAAAUGCGUAGAGAUCAGGAAGAACACCAGUGGC
rnacentral:rRNA from 1 species